rnacentral:rRNA from 1 species
UGGGGAAUUUUGGACAAUGGGCGCAAGCCUGAUCCAGCCAUGCCGCGUGCGGGAAGAAGGCCUUCGGGUUGUAAACCGCUUUUGGCAGGAACGCGGUACCUGCAGAAUAAGCACCGGCUAACUACGUGCCAGCAGCCGCGGUAAUACGUAGGGUGCAAGCGUUAAUCGGAAUUACUGGGCGUAAAGCGUACGCAGGCGGCUAUGCAAGACAGGUGUGAAAUCCCCGGGCUUAACCUGGGAACUGCAUUUGUGACUGCAUGGCUAGAGUUUGUCAGAGGGGGGUGGAAUUCCACGUGUAGCAGUGAAAUGCGUAGAGAUGUGGAGGAACACCGAUGGCGAAGGCAGCCCCCUGGGAUGUGACUGACGCUCAUGUACGAAAGCGUGGGGAGCAAACAGGAUUAGAUACCCCGGUAGU